GUGUUUUUCUGAAUGAUCGCUCUGCAUACGCAGGGAGGAAAGUCCGAACACUCCCCCGAUGUUCGUCGGGGAGCAAGGUAGCGGGUAACACCCGUCCGGGGCAAUCCGAGUGGUGCGAACAGAAACGUCCCUGCCUGCCGACAAGCAGGUCGGCCGAAAGGCUCAGGGAGAGCCCAAUCCCAAGCUAGAUGGCUCAGCUUCACUAUAGGGACAGAAAUGUGAAGAUGAAACGGCUAAAUCCAUACCCGAGUGCAAGGCCGUGUCCCACUUUUUAUUAGACAUUAUGUUUAAUGAAUAGCGGGAAGUGCCGCUAGAAUCCCGCAGUAAUGCGGGAUCCAGAUAAAUGAUCAUUGCCAAUGUUGUUCGCUGUAAGCGAAUAUAAAAUCUCGUUUCACUCGAACGAAAUUGGUACAAAAUUCGGCUUAUAGGAAGAAUAUAUCU
rnacentral:RNase_P_RNA from 1 species